rnacentral:rRNA from 1 species
AAAUUGAAGAGUUUGAUCAUGGCUCAGAUUGAACGCUGGCGGCAGGCCUAACACAUGCAAGUCGAACGGUAACAGGAAGCAGCUUGCUGAUUUG